rnacentral:rRNA from 1 species
UACGGGGGGGGCAAGCGUUGUUCGGAAUUACUGGGCGUAAAGGGCUCGUAGGUGGCCAACUAAGUCAGACGUGAAAUCCCUCGGCUUAACCGGGGAACUGCGUCUGAUACUGGAUGGCUUGAGUUCGGGAGAGGGAUGCGGAAUUCCAGGUGUAGCGGUGAAAUGCGUAGAUAUCAGGAGGAACACCGGUGGCGAAGGCGGCUACCUGGACAGAGUCUGACGCUGAGGCACGAAAGCUAGGGGAGCAAACAGG